rnacentral:rRNA from 1 species
GAUGAACGCUGGCGGCGUGCCUAAUACAUGCAAGUCGAGCGAACGGACGAGAAGCUUGCUUCUCUGAUGUUAGCGGCGGACGGGUGAGUAACACGUGGAUAACCUACCUAUAAGACUGGGAUAACUUCGGGAAACCGGAGCUAAUACCGGAUAAUAUUUUGAACCGCAUGGUUCAAAAGUGAAAGACGGUCUUGCUGUCACUUAUAGAUGGAUCCGCGCUGCAUUAGCUAGUUGGUAAGGUAACGGCUUACCAAGGCAACGAUGCAUAGCCGACCUGAGAGGGUGAUCGGCCACACUGGAACUGAGACACGGUCCAGACUCCUACGGGAGGCAGCAGUAGGGAAUCUUCCGCAGUGGGCGAAAGCCUGACGGAGCCACGCCGCGUGAGUGAUGAAGGUCUUCGGAUCGUAAAACUCUGUUAUUAGGGAAGAACAUAUGUGUAAGUAACUGUGCACAUCUUGACGGUACCUAAUCAGAAAGCCACGGCUAACUACGUGCCAGCAGCCGCGGUAAUACGUAGGUGGCAAGCGUUAUCCCGAAUUAUUGGGCGUACAGCGCGCGUAGGCGGUUUUUUAAGUCUGAUGUGAAAGCCCACGGCUCAACCGUGGAGGGUCAUUGGAAACUGGAAAACUUGAGUGCAGAAGAGGAAAGUGGAAUUCCAUGUGUAGCGGUGAAAUGCGCAGAGAUAUGGAGGAACACCAGUGGCGAAGGCGACUUUCUGGUCUGUAACUGACGCUGAUGUGCGAAAGCGUGGGGAUCAAACAGGAUUAGAUACCCUGGUAGUCCACGCCGUAAACGAUGAGUGCUAAGUGUUAGGGGGUUUCCGCCCCUUAGUGCUGCAGCUAACGCAUUAAGCACUCCGCCUGGGGAGUACGACCGCAAGGUUGAAACUCAAAGGAAUUGACGGGGACCCGCACAAGCGGUGGAGCAUGUGGUUUAAUUCGAAGCAACGCGAAGAACCUUACCAAAUCUUGACAUCCUUUGACAACUCUAGAGAUAGAGCCUUCCCCUUCGGGGGACAAAGUGACAGGUGGUGCAUGGUUGUCGUCAGCUCGUGUCGUGAGAUGUUGGGUUAAGUCCCGCAACGAGCGCAACCCUUAAGCUUAGUUGCCAUCAUUAAGUUGGGCACUCUAAGUUGACUGCCGGUGACAAACCGGAGGAAGGUGGGGAUGACGUCAAAUCAUCAUGCCCCUUAUGAUUUGGGCUACACACGUGCUACAAUGGACAAUACAAAGGGCAGCGAAACCGCGAGGUCAAGCAAAUCCCAUAAAGUUGUUCUCAGUUCGGAUUGUAGUCUGCAACUCGACUACAUGAAGCUGGAAUCGCUAGUAAUCGUAGAUCAGCAUGCUACGGUGAAUACGUUCCCGGGUCU